CUGCUGCCUUCCGUAGGAGUUUGGACCGUGUCUCAGUCCCAAUGUGGGGGACCUUCCUCUCAGAACCCCUACGCAUCGUCGGCUUGGUGGGCCGUUGCCCCACCAACUACCUAAUGCGCCGCAUGCCCAUCCGUGACCGGGGUCGCCCCCUUUGGCCGGCAGGGGAUGUCCCCUCCCGGCAUUAUGUUGUAUUAGGCGGGAUUUCUCCCGGUUAUCCAUCUGUCACGGCCAGGUUGCAUACGUGUUACUCACCCGUGCGCCGGUCGCCGGCGG
rnacentral:rRNA from 1 species